CUGGGACUGGGGCAGGCACCAGGCUGUCUUCAGAUACUUCAUACAGAAAUGGUAUCUCCCUGACCCUUUUCUGCGAUUUGCCUCAUCUGUCCUCAUCUCAUCAAGGGUCAGGACGUAGGAGCCGAUAGACCCAGCACCUUUCUGAGUCUGUCCUGUCCAAGUGAGGGUGAGUGGGGGCUUGUUCUUCUUCUCAGAGCCUCCCUGUGGGGUCCUCUUCCCUCCUUCAGCCUGUCCAUCAACACAGCAUUGCGGGAUCCUUACCAUGGCAUCCAGCCCUGGAGAUGCUUCAGGAAAGUUGCAGGUCCAUGCUGCAGGACAGGCUCAGAUCAGCAGAGACGCAUCUCACAUCGGGCUGUGAAAUUCAAGUUGAGCUGCAAUUGGCAAUGAGAAGAAAAAAGGAGAAAUAAAGAAAUGCUGACUCUUCUUUUGUCUUUGGAGUAUGGGUUUUAUUUCUUCCAGUUUCCUUCUUAGACUUCCCUUCUUUUUUUUCUUCCUAUUUUUUUUAAUAGUGUUCAGGUCCCCCUCCCUUAAAAGUAACCUCUGAGUCAUUCCUGCCUCCUUGGCGUCCC
rnacentral:lncRNA from 1 species